UGCCAGCAGCCGCGGUAAUACAGAGGGGGCAAGCGUUAUUCGGAAUUAUUGGGCGUAAAGGGCGCGUAGGCGGCCCUUCAAGUGGUAGGUGAAAUCCCUCGGCUCAACCGAGGAGCUGCCCGCCAAACUGAAGAGCUUGAGUCCGGGAGAGGUGAGUGGAAUUCCCAGUGUAGCGGUGAAAUGCGUAGAUAUUGGGAGGAACACCAGUGGCGAAGGCGGCUCACUGGACCGGAACUGACGCUGAGGCGCGAAAGCGUGGGGAGCAAACGGGAUUAGAUA
rnacentral:rRNA from 1 species